rnacentral:lncRNA from 1 species
UGGGGCUAAUAUUCUCAAGCUCAUCUACAUUAUAUGGCAGUCAUUUUUAUCCUAAAAUUCUCUUCAUAUUCAUCUCAUCCCGACCAACAAACUGCAUCAAUCUCAUCUCUCGCGGACUUAUACAAAUCCAGCCUCUUGGCACAUUGCUGUCUCUUUUCCAUCAACACAGAAUCUUCAUCCAGCAAAUGAGCAAGUUGCAAUUCCUGAAAAAUAAACAGACAGAAUUAGUCUACAAAUAGUAUUUAGUAAUAGUGCGGAUGAAUUAGAAUGCAAUUUGAUAUGAUAGCAUAUUUUAUGUAUGCAAGUAUGAUUGUAUUAUACCUCUUUUUGGCUGAGUUGUGCGUAAAAGUGAUCUAGUAAAGAUCGCUUAGCUUCCCUCACUUGACAAUGAACAACAGCCUUUGGAAUGGUAUUCCUCAAUGUUUCUGAUACCAUCCCAACGUAAGAUAAAACGUUUGAACCAAUCCUUUGGAAGUGUCCGUCAGCAGAGGAGGAAGCCUGAUUCCCUCCCCUGUCGCUGACUUCUUGUGGGAGUUUACGGAAGAAAUCAACGGUGAUAUAUGAAGAUUCCAUUUCCACUAGUCUUAAUGUUGCCUUCUUUCCGUCUUCACGGAACCUCUCUAAAGCCUCGAUAGCUGCUACUGCUAUUUCAGAUCGAAGAGUUGGGAAGCGCUUCAAUUCCUGCAACCAUAGUCAAAACUCACUAACAGGGCUAAAAUCACAUUGCUUUUCAUUUAGACAGUAUUCCAACUCAAACCUCUGUUUCGGAAAUUGACUUUCUCACGAGUUCCUUCAGGACAAAAUGAACCUGUGCCACAGAUAGAAUAUAUAGGAAUUAAUAAAAGUAAUAAAUAUCAAUAGCAUGAAAAAAG